rnacentral:tRNA from 1 species
GGGACUGUAGCUCAGUCGGUUAGAGCAAACGACUCAUAAUCGUUCGGUCCAGGGUUCAAGUCCCUGCAGUCCUACCA